rnacentral:misc_RNA from 1 species
UUGGCUACGCGAGCGCAUGAGUUGUGUUGGACCUGUGACUGCCGAUAGAACCCCUGCCGUUGUGCGGCUGACUAUCGGCGCCUGUGUCCCUUCAAUCGUUGGCGAUUGAGCCUAACCCUUUCAAGAGUGCUUGUGUGCUGCUACCAGUUACGCUGGAAGUUGCGAUCGCUUACAUGUGCCAUCGUCGUGCCCGUCCUUAGGGCGUGGCUCGUCGACUAGAAAGCUUCCACGUCGUAGCCUCGUGUAGCUAGCCGAAAUGGUUGGCAACAUCAAGGCCACCUCGUGCCUGCUCUUGGUUUCGGAUGUGGCUAACGUUGUAGGCUGAAGGCGCCGUGGCGUCACAUGCCUAGCAAAGAAUGUUCAGUCGGAAACGACAGUCGGGUCAAUUGAUGCCUUGUGCAGAAACUGGUCUCGGCUCGUCGAUGAGGACGUGCUACCUGGUUGAUCCUGCCAGUAGUCAUAUGCUUGUCU